rnacentral:lncRNA from 1 species
GCCGGGUUGUCGGGAGAUUUGGAGGCGAGGCGGGAGAAGAAGAAACCCAGGAGGGCUUCUCCUCCUUCGCCGCCGCCGCAGCCACCAUGGAGGGCUUCUCCACCGCGGAGGGCUUCUCCUCCUUCGCCGCCGCUGCAGCCACCGCGGAGGGCUUCUCCUCCUUCGCCAGGUCCGUUCCGGUUAGGGCGGCAGGGAGAGAGAGCGAGGAGGCGAAGGGAUUUGAGGCGAGGGCCUUUUCUUGGGCUGGUAGGGAGAGAGAGCGAGGAGGGAUUUGGGGAUAGUAGUUUUGUUCUGGGUGGAGAGAAAGAGAGGGGAGGGAUUUAGUUGGCUUGAUACAUAUCUGAAGCCGCUCUUAUCUUUCAUCCUUUCACUUUUUUGGUUUUGGUCUUCGUUUUCCUUCCCUCACGUUGCUCCUGAUCCAGCUCGGCCAUCGGGAAGAAAGAUAGGGG